AUAUCUACCCCGGUCUUCCUGCCACUCAUCGCCAGAUCGUUCCGUCACCCUCAGUGGUCUGCUCACCUACCAGCUGCAGCUGUUUCCUGGUUCCAACCUGCCUGCUCACUCCUACCCUCUGCUCCUCCUCGACCUGGAUCCCUGCCUUUGUUACUUACCAGCCUGUUCACUCUCCAACGCCAUUCCACCGCUUGGAG